rnacentral:rRNA from 1 species
AGUGAACGCUGGCGGUAGGCCUAACACAUGCAAGUCGAACGACAGCACAGUAAGAGCUUGCUCUUACGGGUGGCGAGUGGCGGACGGGUGAGGAAUACAUCGGAAUCUACUUUUUCGUGGGGGAUAACGUAGGGAAACUUACGCUAAUACCGCAUACGACCUACGGGUGAAAGCAGGGGAUCUUCGGACCUUGCGCGAUUGAAUGAGCCGAUGUCGGAUUAGCUAGUUGGCGGGGUAAGGGCCCACCAAGGCGACGAUCCGUAGCUGGCCUGAGAGGAUGAUCAGCCACACUGGAACUGAGACACGGUCCAGACUCCUACGGGAGGCAGCAGUGGGGAAUAUUGGACAAUGGGCGCAAGCCUGAUCCAGCCAUACCGCGUGGGUGAAGAAGGCCUUCGGGUUGUAAAGCCCUUUUGUUGGGAAAGAAAAGCAGCAGGUUAAUACCCCGCUGUUCUGACGGUACCCAAAGAAUAAGCACCGGCUAACUUCGUG